GACGAACGCUGGCGGCGUGCCUAAUACAUGCAAGUAGAACGCUGAAGGAGGAGCUUGCUUCUCUGGAUGAGUUGCGAACGGGUGAGUAACGCGUAGGUAACCUGCCUGGUAGCGGGGGAUAACUAUUGGAAACGAUAGCUAAUACCGCAUAAGAGUAGAUGUCGCAUGACAUUUGCUUAAAAGGUGCAAUUGCAUCACUACCAGAUGGACCUGCGUUGUAUUAGCUAGUUGGUGAGGUAACGGCUCACCAAGGCAACGAUACAUAGCCGACCUGAGAGGGUGAUCGGCCACACUGGGACUGAGACACGGCCCAGACUCCUACGGGAGGCAGCAGUAGGGAAUCUUCGGCAAUGGACGGAAGUCUGACCGAGCAACGCCGCGUGAGUGAAGAAGGUUUUCGGACCGUAAAGCUCUGUUGUAAGAGAAGAACGAGUGUGAGAGUGGAAAGUUCACACUGUGACGGUAUCUUACCAGAAAGAGACGGCUAACUACGUG
rnacentral:rRNA from 1 species